UAUUCUUCAUAAUCCCUAAAACUUUUAAUUCAAUUGCGAGUUACUACCAGCAUGAUUUCAAGAGAGCAUUCAAAUUUUCAUUAAUACAAUAAUACAUAUGCAGACUCCAAUUGCAAUCCGCUACCAAAAACAUAAUCUUAAAUUUCAAUAACAAAAUUCAACGACAAGAAAGUUACCUAAAGCUUGGAACUCGCAUUGAAUCUUCCAAUCCUAAAAUGCUUCAAAUCAACUUCAUUAGUUNNN
rnacentral:lncRNA from 1 species